GUUCAUGUAGCUUAACUCAAAGCAAGGCACUGAAAAUGCCUAGACGGGUCCAUAUAUAACCCCAUAAACA
rnacentral:tRNA from 1 species